UUACUUUGUAACUUUAUAAAUAAAUACAAUGUGGCUUCAUCAAAAUAAUUCAAAUCAAAUAAGACUUUACUCUAGAUAAUAGUCUUAAUACUUAGCAAAAUCUUUAAAACAUUAACGAAAUUUCAAACGUUAAUAUUAUUAAUUAAUUAUAAUAAUCGUAGUUUAAAACGAUAAUCAAGGAGUUUAAAAUCACAUGUGCUACAACACGAUCCUAGUGUGUUGACUAUGCAGGAGGAGCACAGGAGCAUUCCUCUGUGUGAUGUCCAGGUGUCCAAUACAGACACGUUAGGCAUUAGACAUCCAGAUUUUGUUUCUUGGGUGAUCGACGAGAGGAUCAUCCCUUACUUUGAGUAUACAAGGUUGUACGACUUUCACCUCGUUGCGUACAGUAGAGUAGACCGCGUAUCAUCACAGCACUUGUAGAGAGAUGGCAUCAAGAGACGCAUACAUUUUAUUGACCAACCAUAUAGAAGUGUUGGUCGUGAUGACGUUACUCCACCGCAACAAGCACCACCAGAUGUCCCGUAUGGUUUGAGGUGGAAUUUUGCGUGUCACACGCGUAAACACACAGGAACUAGGUUGGGAUUCUACCGAGACCAGUUAGACCUACUACGACCAAACCAGUUUUGUGGGACCCUUACCCCGCCGAUGCCUAUGCGGCUGUGCCCGAUCACUCGGGGAUUCAGUCGGAUGCGUGGAGGGCUUCUGUACCACUCAUAUGCUUCGACAUUGUCCAAGUUCAUCUACCUGAGCGCGUAUUACGCCAAUAUGGGUUGGUACAGGGCAUUCCACCACCCUGCGAUACAGAUGCUGAGAUGCACGUCAGCACGUGCAAGGGUCAGGGUACGAGAAACUGGAGCGAGAUUAACGGGUGCCACAUCGCUCAUUGGGAUCAAAGGCUCAAGUUCAUAGCACAAGGUGCGCCAAUCGAUGCUGCUGGCGCAUCUACUACAGCGGAUUACUUGCCAUGGUUCCUCUCCAUCACACGCCG